rfam:Ictidomys tridecemlineatus contig065103, whole genome shotgun sequence.
GGGGCUGUAGCUCAGUGGUGAGAGUGCUCCCCUGGCACAGGUGAAUCACUAGGUUCGAUCCUCAGCACCA